rnacentral:lncRNA from 7 species
ACUACAAAGCUUCCCCUGUCCUAAUGUAGUUGUAUACUCCCAGAACAAGCCAUCAGACCCCAGGCACUGAAAUUCAACAUAAGAUGUUUCAGGAACUUCACUCAGUAGACAGAGUAAAAUUGCCAAUGACAGCCUCUGCCAAACAAGUAGGAAAGUAUUUCAGCUCUGAAAGACUCACCUGUAAUGCUAACAGCAAUUGUGAAAAACCACCUGUGCCACGGGAGUCAGGAAAAAGUGUAUUUUGUGACAUAAUCCAAUCCAGAAGAGAAAAUUUCCAUACAUCCUGCUUUAAUUUGAUCUCUCAGAAGACAAAGAAACACAAUGGCAAAAGUGUCUCCAACUCCUCACAGAAGACAUUUCAGUAUUUAAAAGGUCACGAUCAUGGUGCAAAGAGCAAUUCAAAAAAGGAAGAACGGAAAACGGGGAGGCUCUCCUUAAAACCCAGAAGACUCGAGAAAAACAGGACAGCAAGACAAGCUGUACAGUUUAGGAAGAGUAAAUCCUGCCAGGCACAAAGCGCAUCACAGUUCUCCCUGCCCUUACUGCCUGAAGCAGAGAACAGACAACCUGCUGCAAAAUACCAGGAUGUGUUUUGGAGCCCCGGUUCUUCAGCUAAGAAAGGCAUGUGAAAGAGUCAUCUAUAUGAUUUACUUAAACAAUCCCCAGAACUCUGACUAUGGAUUAUGGCUAGCAGUGAGGGAGUACAUAACCUGCAGAAACAAAAAAUUCUUCUUGCCCUUUUCUUCUGAAAAAUUGUUCACACGCAGCUGACUAAUGUGCUUAUGAAGUUUCUCUCGCCAUGUGAAGAAAUAUCCCAAAUUCUAAACCAGUUUAUUUGGGAGUGUCUCCUCAGUAUAAAACAUCAUUCGUGUUAAACGAUACGUACUGAUUUUGUGGGGCAGUCUCCACUUCCAGAAGGAGCUGCAUGAAUAGCUGAGUGUCACCCACCCACCUCAACUCUAUUUGGAAGUCUUCCUAAGAUUCUAAAGGAGAGGGAUUAUUCACUGAGCAGCUGAAGCUACCAUUCACUGAUCAUAAGCCACGAGAAUCACUUCCCUUUUCACCAACAAAUAAAUUUUACAUGCAAAAACAUUUGACACAAAAUCUGUGUACAAAUUCUGGAUUUCCUUGCUUAAGGAUGCUGUGGAUGUGUGGAUGCAAAAAAUGUGCAUGGAUUCAGGUGGACGUGCGCCUUAAAAAUACAUCACUGGGAGUUUUUAAAUAGACAGGCUGCAUAUGGUCUGGGAAAUGUCCUCAGCUGACAUGAGAGAGAACAGAGGAGAGUGCUUAGGAAAUGUAUUGUGUGUGUUUGUUCUGUUUCUACUUCCUCCUCAGCAAUCACAACGGUCAGAGUCACCUAGGAGACUGCUGUGAUAAGUGGCCCCUUGGUCUAUGCCAGUAUGGCCAUUCAUGUGUCCUUACGGACCUGGGUAGCAUUUUACUAAUUACAGUCAUAUGCCUGCAUAGUUUGCAUUGUCUUGAGGUGUACAGCACCGUACAGAUAUCUGGAAGAAGAGAUGAAAAAUAUGCUUCUUUAAACAGGUACUAAAUUUUGUCUCCUUUAUAUUGUGUAGUACUUAGGAUUGUCCCUUAAGCAAUUUGGCAGUCUUCCUCACUCUAGUUUGUCUCUGUCUCCAUUGCAUGCUCCAUUUAACUGUGUAAAUUAUAACCUACUAAUGCAAAAUCAAGGCCAUCAAGUUUUUAGCAUUUGAGAGGAGCUGGGUUAGACCUGCCAGUAAUAAAGUCUGAAUUAUUUUUCUCUUCAAGAAGGUAGAACUGGCCACAUCUGAUACCCAAAUGGAAUAGGAUUCAGCCUCACAGAGUCCUACAUUCAGCAGACAUGCAGACAACACAAAGCCAUUUAGCUUUGCGCUACCUUGGACUCAAGUCCAAGACAAGCUCUUAGUUUCUCAGUUGCCUCAUCAUGAUAGCUAUAGGAAGAGAAGCAUACAGUUGGUUCAGUUUCAUCAAGAUUUCUUUCUUUUUAGUUACCAGCAGAUUACAGUCAAGAUAAAAUCUGCAAUUUUACUAUGUCUUCCAAAUAAAAGUGAUUUCCAAACAGUGU